rnacentral:lncRNA from 1 species
CGGGCUGAUUAAUUGAUCUUCUCAGAGUCCAAUUUCAAUAGUUUACUCUUCCCAAUGGAGGAGAUGUCCUUGUUUUUGUCAGUUCAGCUGGGUUAGAUCACCAAGAUACUUUCCCAAUUUUUUGAAAUAUUAUAUGCGCUGGUAUCAUCUUGAAGUAGAAAAGUUCAUGUAACAGCUUUUGUAUUUCCCCACUAGAAGCCAAACAUGAAUAACAAUUAGUGCACCGGUGCUGUUUCAGGUAUUCACACCGUAUUAAAGCAGAGAGCAACUCCAGGGAGAAAUACCACUCAUUGGCUGGCAGAGUAGUGCUUAGUGAUGACAAACAGCACUUCAAGCUGAAAUGUGGUGAGAUGGGUCAGGGAAGGCUCUCCUUUAUAAAGAGGGAUCUUUUUGUAUAUAGAAUGCUUAGGAGGAAGAAUGUGCCUAUUCAGAAGGGACCUUCGGAGGGAGUGGUGCUGGUGCUAAUGGUUGCCCAGUACCUACCCAGCCCCUUGGGCCCGGACACUGGUGACGUGCUCGCUCAACGUUUCAGCCUUCAUGUGGCAGGCGGAGAGGGUUUCACACCACAGCUCAUCACAGCACAACUUGGCAGUAGUGAGACUUAAGGAGUUUUAUUUUAAAUUUCCAGAAAAGCAGCAGCAGCAGCAAGAAGAUGAGGAGGCAGCAUCAGUCCAGGGUGGGGGAAACAACUGCUUUGCCCUCCUUUCCCUCUGUUUCACACCCAGAUUCCUUGCUGGCAUGUGUGAUUUAACCCAGAGCUGUGACAGAUCUGCUGAUACCUCAGUAUGGUUGCUCCAGGUCUGUGGUGAUGCAAGGGGACAUCAGGAUGUGGGGCUGGUCACGAGGAGCCAGGGACUCGCUCUCUCCUUCCCCUUGCUCACCUCCUGCACGUGGAGGUAAGUGUGUGUGUAAUGCUAAUGUACAGCCUGCAUAUUGUACUCAUGGUGCUGAAAACACUGUCACUGUUUAUGCUAAGAAAAAUGGAACCCAAAGGCCACAGAAUGAAAUAUAAUUUGUUAAAAACAGGGAGUAGCAUUGAUUAAAAUGAAAGCCAGUGUUCCGGCACUUUACCAUGGAGAAGUAUGUCCCCAGGUUCCUUGCACUUGCCCUGUGAUUAUACAAUAGAUUUUAAGUCUGUGAUAUCUACAAAUCUACAUCAAAAUAUAUUCUAUAACUGUAGGAAACAGCUCUGAAUUGUUAACCUUCUCUCCAGGUACUGGAGGUAACACACUGUGAGAUUAGAUGUAUAUUUUCUUCAAGAUAUACCACCCAUAGAGGAGUCCAUAUUUACAUCUUUUGUUGAUAUUUUUUAUAGAUUAAAAGAGUCUCUUUUCUGGUGAUAAUUCUGCUAAGUACUGUAAUUUCCUGCCACUAAUAUUUGUCUGAGUCCUAGUUUGCAAAAUAUAUUUGAAACCACUUUAUAAAGUCUCAUAAUUGCUUCUUUGUAGAGCUGGUAUAAUGAGUAGUUUCUUUAUCCAGCCUUUAUCCUGUUAACCUUAGAGGUGAGCGACUGCUUGCUGGAGUUGUUGGGGAAUGUCUUAGCACUGUUGAGCCAUUUAAUUUCACUACUAAUUUCAUAGCGGUGACACAGAAUUGGCUAUGAGCAAGCUUGCAGUUAUUUCAAGGGUUUUCAGUUAGCAUUGAAUCAGGACCUGAUUCACUAAAAUGAAAUUGAAAUAAAUGCACAUGUAGAUGAUUUUUUUUAAUGCA